rnacentral:rRNA from 1 species
GGGGAAUAUUGCACAAUGGAGGAAACUCUGAUGCAGCAACGCCGCGUGGAGGACGAAGGUUUUCGGAUUGUAAACUCCUGUCUUUUGGGACGAUAAUGACGGUACCAAAAGAGGAAGCCACGGCUAACUACGUGCCAGCAGCCGCGGUAAUACGUAGGUGGCGAGCGUUGUCCGGAAUUACUGGGCGUAAAGGGCGCGUAGGCGGCCUGUUAAGUCAGAUGUGAAACCCCCAGGCUCAACUUGGGGAUUGCAUAUGAAACUGAUGGGCUCGAGUGUCGGAGAGGAAAGCGGAAUUCCUAGUGUAGCGGUGAAAUGCGUAGAUAUUAGGAGGAACACCAGUGGCGAAGGCGGCUUUCUGGACGAUAACUGACGCUGAGGCGCGAAAGCGUGGGGAGCAAAC